GAUGAACGCUGGCGGCGUGCCUAAUACAUGCAAGUCGAGCGAACAGACAAGGAGCUUGCUCCUUUGACGUUAGCGGCGGACGGGUGAGUGACACGUGGGUAACCUACCUAUAAGACUGGGAUAACUUCGGGAAACCGGAGCUAAUACCGGAUAAUAUUUCGAACCGCAUGGUUCGAUAGUGAAAGAUGGUUUUGCUAUCACUUAUAGAUGGACCCGCGCCGUAUUAGCUAGUUGGUAAGGUAACGGCUUACCAAGGCGACGAUACGUAGCCGACCUGAGAGGGUGAUCGGCCACACUGGAACUGAGACACGGUCCAGACUCCUACGGGAGGCAGCAGUAGGGAAUCUUCCGCAAUGGGCGAAAGCCUGACGGAGCAACGCCGCGUGAGUGAUGAAGGUCUUCGGAUCGUAAAACUCUGUUAUUAGGGAAGAACAUACGUGUAAGUAACUAUGCACGUCUUGACGGUACCUAAUCAGAAAGCCACGGCUAACUACGUGCCAGCAGCCGCGGUAAUACGUAGGUGGCAAGCGUUAUCCGGAAUUAUUGGGCGUAAAGCGCGCGUAGGCGGUUUUUUAAGUUUGAUGUGAAAGCCCACGGCUCAACCGUGGAGGGUCAUUGGAAACUGGAAAACUUGAGUGCAGAAGAGGAAAGUGGAAUUCCAUGUGUAGCGGUGAAAUGCGCAGAGAUAUGGAGGAACACCAGUGGCGAAGGCGACUUUCUGGUCUGUAACUGACGCUGAUGUGCGAAAGCGUGGGGAUCAAACAGGAUUAGAUACCCUGGUAGUCCACGCCGUAAACGAUGAGUGCUAAGUGUUAGGGGGUUUCCGCCCCUUAGUGCUGCAGCUAACGCAUUAAGCACUCCGCCUGGGGAGUACGACCGCAAGGUUGAAACUCAAAGGAAUUGACGGGGACCCGCACAAGCGGUGGAGCAUGUGGUUUAAUUCGAAGCAACGCGAAGAACCUUACCAAAUCUUGACAUCCUUUGACAACUCUAGAGAUAGAGCCUUCCCCUUCGGGGGACAAAGUGACAGGUGGUGCAUGGUUGUCGUCAGCUCGUGUCGUGAGAUGUUGGGUUAAGUCCCGCAACGAGCGCAACCCUUAAGUUUAGUUGCCAUCAUUAAGUUGGGCACUCUAAGUUGACUGCCGGUGACAAACCGGAGGAAGGUGGGGAUGACGUCAAAUCAUCAUGCCCCUUAUGAUUUGGGCUACACACGUGCUACAAUGGACAAUACAAAGGGCAGCGAAAUCGCGAGGUCAAGCAAAUCCCAUAAAGUUGUUCUCAGUUCGGAUUGUAGUCUGCAACUCGACCACAUGAAGCUGGAAUCGCUAGUAAUCGUAGAUCAGCAUGCUACGGUGAAUACGUUCCCGGGUCU
rnacentral:rRNA from 1 species